CUCCUCAGCCAUUCGCCCUGCGCCCGCUGACGUGACGAGUCCCCGGUUGUGUUACGGCGGUGAAGCGGUGUUGCGUCUGUCCCUGGCGGGCAUGUUGUGGUGGACUGCGGUGUGGAGGGAGAGGUGGAUGUGAGUAUGGCCUGGUGGUGGAUAGGGAGGAGUGGAUAGUGGAAGAGAGAUGUGGAGAGUAGGAUGGUGGAAGGGGGAGGUGGAGGUGGCUAUGGCGGACGUGACUGGGUUGAGGUGGUGGUUGUGGUGGUGUUUGGUAUGGUUGGAAUGGUUGUAGAGGGUGUUGGUAGUGGUGGUGAACGUGACUGGCUUAUGUUAAAGGUGGUUGUGGUUGUUGGGGAUGGUGGUGGUUGUGUGACAGUGGUGGGUGCAGCGGACGCAACGGUGUUGUGGUUGUUGGGUGUGGUUGAGGAUUGCGAUGGUGGUGGUGGUGGAGGUGGUAGGUGGCGGUGGUCGUAGUCGGAGCGGGCUAAUUGGUGUUGGUGGUGGUGUAAAAAGGUGUUUAUCGGACGGAGUGGAAGUGGUGGUGGUGGCGGUGAUACGAUUAUCAGGGAUGAGAGAGAGAGAGAGAGAGAGAGAGAGAGAGAGAGAGAGAGUGUGUGUGUGUGUGUGUGUGUACUCCUAUAAUCAGCAAAUUGCAGUCACUCGUUCGCUUGUUUCACCUCCCUGUUUCAGGCCUUCUCUCCCCUUCCCUUCCUCCCCGCUCCCUUCCUAGCCUGCCCGCCACCCUCUCCCCGCUUUUCCCUGCCUGUCCUCCCCUGCUCCUCGUGUCCCAGGUGACCCAUAAACUACCUCUAACAAUGGUGAUGAAGAACCAGAAGUGGGUUGUAGGUGACGAGAUAACUAUCCCAGGUCAUCCCGGAAGUGGCGAGGUGACCCCAUACAGCUCCACAAGGUCGUGGAGGACACCAGACAUAGCCACGUGGUCGCCUACACUCAGCCAUCCACCUCACCUGCCCCAGACUGCUACCCGGACACCAUCCAGCCACAAGAACCCAGAUAAGCAUUUCCGGGGUCCUUGGUUGUGGUUAGCUAGCUAGUUUGUUUAGGGGUCACUUGCUGUACAUAGGAACCCUCCUCGGUCUGAUGCUAUUUUUUUUAUUUUUAUUUUUGAGGUGUAACGCUGUGCUCUACGUGAGAGUGAUAGUGUUUAUCUUUAUUUAUUUAUUUUUUUUCCUGAAGACCAGUUCUGAUGUUAUCUUGGAGGUUAACGGAGAAGAGUUCUUCACACCUGUGUUUGUUGUUUUAUUUUAUUUUUUUAUUGGUCACUUUUUUUUUUCUUUUGUGAUUGUUAUUAAUUUUAUUUAUUUGUAUUGAAAUAUGUGAGUGUGAAUGCAGCACAAUAUAUAAAGGUGUGCAUUCCAGAGUGAAAGGAAGGCGUGCACAGGGUAGAGUGCACAGGAUGCAGUGCCUUGUUUUUAUCACCAGACCUUGAUUGACUGAAGCAAAUGAAAACUUUGGUGUGAGUACCUUACAAAGACACUUGACAAUACUAAUGUCACCUCACCUCGUGGUUUCACCUUAAACCUACAAACAUUGGCUGGACACAAGGUCAUAGAAAUAAUUUAUUCUCAUUUAUUCUCAUCUUUACAAAUUACAGUCUUUACACAUCAAAGUAACUAAUCACCUUUAUUCAUCCACUUGAGGGGGUUGAAGGAUCGCUAAUCCCAUAUUAAAUUGCCUGUGUUCAACUCGCCUCUCCUACCUCAUUUAUUGACCAAUUCAUUUAAAAAAUAUUUUGAUCAGGAAGGUUGCAAGAAGAAUGUCUGCUAUCUUUUUUUUUUUUGUACGAUAAGUUUUUUUUUUUCCAAUGAAAAAGUAAAAAAAAAACUGUGUCAAAUAUUUACUUUCAAAUAUUUGUCAGAAAUCAAAAUCAGUUACAAACAAAAAUGACGACAGCAGACUUUGUUCGCCUCUCACAGCUGGAUAAGCCGCAAUGGCCCAUCUGUGUGUAACACCAAUAACAACGGAGAUCAUUUUUAUAUGCAAAAAUCCGCCAUUUUAAGUUAUGUCAAAGUUUAAGGGAUGACUAUAAUACACCUAUUGCAGCUAAGGACUUGAAAUUCACAUGAUAUAUACAUCACAAUAUGUUGAAAAACAGAUAUAGAUUAAUUUAGUUACUCCGAUUGGUUUUGUACAUAGGCCUAAAGUAAUUCAUGAUUUCACCCUUAAUUACCCGGGGGGGAGGGGGGAAGGCGGGUGAAAACAAUUUUUGUUAUAUUUCGACUUUUAGAUCAAAACCAGUGUUUAACUGUUUGAAAUAAAUAAAAUAUUAAUGCAAAAGAUAUCUAAUGGAGACACAUUGACUAUUUCCUAGAUUUACGGAAAAAUAUUUAUCUUAUUUUUCGUAUAUAAAUUUGAAAAAAAUAGUUAGACCUAAAAUUACGUACUCUCUAAUGUUGUACGCAGCAAAAGAACCGUAGAUAUUCAUAGGAGACUGAGGAAGAACGGGUACGCCAGAGAGAAAAAAAAAAAAAAAGUCAUGUCUCGCAGCGGGCGAAACCGUGAAAUUUCAUAACAGAAGACCUCAUUACAUAAGGGGAUAUAUAUAUAUAUAUAUAUAUAUAUAUAUAUAUAUAUAUAUAUAUAUAUAUAUAUAUAUAUAUAUAUAUAUAUAUAUAUAUAUAUAUAUAUAUAUAUAUAUAUAUAUAUCAAAACAUUACAUAUAUAAAAAAUGGGAAAAAAAUGUAGAAAAUAAAAAAAAUAAAAAAAAAAUUCAUAUCCGGAUCGUACAACGACACCCUUGAUGCAAAACAUGUUUGCGCGCCUGACGAUGUUAAGACACACGACACACACUUCCCUUGAGAAAAGAUGGUAGCCUUCACGAGUGUCUUACUAUUUCUUUGCAGAGCCCCUCUUCUUGAUGACGACGCGUACACUGUCAGCUACACUUUGCAGUGUCUCACUUAAAUUUUUCUCUAUCUUUGUAUCUCUCCAUUUCAGAUAAAUUGUUAUCUUUCCAAGGGUUGAGGAGAACAUGGUCGUGGUUCAAGAGAAGCCACUACAGCCACUCCCUGACAAGCCUUCCACACCGACAGUGGCAGCAGACACACAAGAGAGGAUGGUGUGGUGGACAAGAGGAUGCAGGGAGACAGCAGACAGAAUGGAAGCUACAGAUGAAAGAAGAGCAGGUCAAGCCAUGGCAGCAGACACAUAGACAGACAGAUUGGAUAAGAAAGAAGUAUUAUUUAGUGAGAUAUGUACACACACUAGCAACAGUUUUCACCUGUAGCACCAGAAACAGUCUUCCUCACACGAACCGUUUCACUGCCGGGACUUGAAGGCUGAUGAAGCAGUGCGGCGGAGGUCACGCCUCUCAGAGUGUUUAUACUUGUUGUCAACACCGCCAUAACUAAUACAAACUCUUUAGUGCAGGUAGUUAAAUAACUGCAAUCAUUGUUCCAGAUUCCUAAAUUCACAAAGUGCAUAACUCAUUCCAAGUUUUUAUUGCAGAUAAUUAAAGUUUUAGUGAAAUAAUUAUUCCUAUUCCUAAUGUUGUGUGGUGCAUUAUCUCAGACAGGCCCACUGGAAGCUGUCAGAGUGCUGUGGCACGUGGCAAGAACCAAGUGUUCAGGAGCACACACUGUCCCUUCACCAGUCAGCAGAUCUGGGCGGCUUGGAAGCCUCACUACAAACUGAAGACCCGUUCACUUGAAGGACACAGUUGGAGUCGGACACAAGAUCCAAGAGGGAGUUAUUUUUAAACGAGAGCUUCAGGCAAAAAAUUCGAGUGGAUUUUCAACUCUAAAAAUAACUUUUUUUGGGGGGAUAUUUUGAAGCUUCUUUAUCUUGAAAAAUAACUCCAGAUAUUAUGACUCUAGCUGGAAGUUGACCUGAGCAAUGUAGGGUUUGCUGCAGUGAGAUUACCAAGGCACGAGUGUCUGGGAUUUAAAGAUGAUGGAUAUGUGUCCUGUGUGCUGCUGUGCUGGGAGGAGAGGAGCAGCAGCAGUCGUGGGGCUCUGCUCCCGCUGUCACUGGUGCAACUGUUCACUCCUGCAGCUACCUUCCCUCAACAUACUGUGUCUUCCCACACAUGCAAUGAACAACUAUGAACAAUACUUCUCCUGCGAUGAGGAACAGUGAAUAACAACACCUCUCUCUCUCUCUCUCUCUCUCUCUCUCUCUCUCUCUCUCUCUCUCUCUCUCUCUCUCUCUCUCUCUCUCUCUCUCUC